rnacentral:lncRNA from 1 species
AAUUCAGGUAAAGGUUUUUUUGCGGUAUGGUUACUUUUGCUCAGUCUUUAGCUUUCUUUCUUGUUUUUUUUUUUUUUUUUUGUACUACUGUUUGUCUGGGGUUUUUUUAUACUACUGUUUGUCUGGGUUUUUUUGUACUACUGUUUGUCUGGGUUUUUUUGUACUACUGUUUGUCUGGUUUUUUUUGUACUAAUGUUUGUCUGGUUUUUUUUUUGUACUACUGUUUGUCUGGGUUUUUUUGUAGUACUGUUUGUCAGGGUUUUUUUUCUAUUCUAACCAUUUUCAUUUUUGACUUGUUUGAAUAUCCCUUUACUAUCGUUCGCCUCUCUUUGACGUUUAUUUCGAUGAAACGUAAGUGCAAAUACAGGUUUGUCCACAUCUUAUCAGCGACCGAAAAUUGAUAUAACUUGGCGUAACUUGACAUAAAGAGAAAAAAAAAGGAUCAUUCAUUUUUUUAAUAGUACUAUACUUCCCUUAGAAUACAUUUUGGCGAAGAAUGUGAAAUAUUUAGGGUAAAAAUCAUUGAAGAGAUUUUGAUAAACAUGAUAACAUCAUAUCAAAUCAUUUAUCUGCUUACCCCUCCAGAGCACCUAAGAUCACCACCAGUUUUUGGUGGGGUUCGUGUUGCUUUGUCUUGAGUUUUCUAUGUUGUGUCUUGUGAACUCCUGUUUUUCUGUUUGUCUUUUUCUUUUUUAUCUAUGGUGUUGUUAGUUAAUUUUUUAUAUAUAAGUUUUAAUGUCCCUCUUGUAUCUUCACCCUUGUUUUAGUACAAACAUGUGAUAAAUGGUAAAUGUAGAACUUUUUGAUAGGAGAGGCUAUUCUGAAAACUCUUCUAUGCUUAGAUCAAUAUUAGUAUAAAUACAUUUGUUUCGUUUUCUUGAUUAUUGAUUCCAAUGAGCCUUAACGGCGUGUUGUUUAAAUUUUCUUUUGUUUUUGUUUUUUCUAUUUGUUUCUUCUUAUUUGUGGCAUACACUACAAACCAUUAAAAGUCUGAAAUGGCCUAUAUCUGUACUCGACUGUACUGAUUUUUACUCGACCAGUCUGAAUUCGUCUGAGAUUUACUUGAUAAUACUCGACUGUAGUCUGAACCAUACUUAACAGUCUGAAUGUGUACUUGACCAGUACUUAACCGUUUUAUACGAGUCUGAACCGUACUC